GACAGAGGGGGCAAGCGUUGCUCAGAAUUACUGGGCGUAAAGGGCGCGUAGGCGGGAUGGCAAGUCGGUCGUGAAAUCCCUCGGCUCAACCGAGGAACGUCGAUCGAUACUGCUGUUCUUGAGGAUUGCAGAGGAGACUGGAAUUCCCGGUGUAGCGGUGAAAUGUGUAGAGAUCGGGAGGAACACCGGUGGCGAAGGCGGGUCUCUGGGCAAUUCCUGACGCUGAGGCGCGAAAGCGUGGGGAGCAAACGGG
rnacentral:rRNA from 1 species